rnacentral:lncRNA from 1 species
UAGCACGCCGGAAUAUUGCUGCACGGGAGCUUUCGAUAAGCCGGAAACUUGUCCUCCGACGGAUUACUCGAGGAUCUUCAAGAAAGCUUGUCCUAACGCUUACAGCUACGCCUAUGACGACGCAACAAGCACCUUCACUUGUUCCCGGUCUAACUACUUGAUCACUUUCUGCCCUUAAAAAUCCGGAGCUCUGGUUUAGACUCGGGUCGAGUUUGACUCCUUUAUUAUGUUUAUUUUGGUUUCUUGCUAUGUAAGGAAGAUGAAAUUAAAGAACAUGCUUAUAACUCAAAUAAAUGCAGGAGAUAAAGAGAAUAACUACAUAUACAGAUUUCUUCUUUUCUCCUAAAAGGCUAAAAGUGUUCAUUGAGUUUAAAAAAAAAUAACUACAAUAGGUUAUUAACUAUUAUUGUUGUCAAAAGGUAUAGCAUAUGAUUCAGUCGGUAAUAGAACUCAUCUUUUCAGGUAGCAUCUCCAUCUUGGUUUCUUUGCAUGCGUUUUUCUUGUUCAUAUGUCACCUUAUCUGAUUAGGUGCAACCGUGCAAGUGAGGUCAGGUUAGUUCUGAUAGAACCAAUUGAUACUUGUACAUGUAAUGAAUCAUAACCGUGUCAUCAUCUAUCAUGUUUUCUCAUGAGAUGCGUUCAACUUAUUAAUAACAUAUGCCAAAGAAGAUGGGCUGACAGCCGUAUUUAUAUAUUCUUUGAUUCAUAAAGAGAUAAAGAAGAUUGAAUACUCUAAUCUAACGUGUGUAUAUCAUCAGAUCUAGUAAACUUACUGAGUAUAUCAUAAUAGUACAACCCUGCAAGAAUACUAAAUCUUCUAAUGAACAGCAUUUCAGUAUAUAGCGUAUAUCCUUAGACAGUGUCAGUAACCGUAUAUCCUUGACAGUGUCCACAUCACACGAACAAACAAAGAAAAUCGAUUAAAAAUGGCGGGUACUCACAUUCUCUUCCUUCUGUUCAUCACAAGCAGUAACGACAAAAACAACUGUUUUCUAUUAUCGUUUCUUUCUCUGUUUCACUUUCACUUAUGUCUUAAUCUUCCUCCUUUGGCUAUUACAAUCUGAAUCAUCUACUUUUGCUAGCUGCAUUGCCGUUACCGCCACCGUCUUCGUCUUGGAGAACAGCUGCCCAGGAACUCUCUCCAUCAACAGCACCACCCUCGGCGACAGCUGGGUUCCCCUGACUCCUGGCGCUUCCGUACAGCUCAUUGCUCCUCCGGGAUGGUCAGGACGCUUCUGGGCUCGCACCGGCUGCUUGACUUUAAAAUAGAAUUUAUAUUCAUCAUUCAAAUUACAUGAAUUCUGUCUAGAUUUAAACUCUAUUAAAAUACAUAAUUGAAUAACACCUCUAAGGUUUUUGGUUACAAUAUACCAAAAAAAUAUCAUUAAUUUUAUAAAAAAGAUUUAGGUUUUAUUGUUUUAACUAAUAAACUCUACCAACACAUUUUAAAUUGACUUCAAAAAUCAUAAAAUGCAUAACUUUAUUGUAUAUCAAUAAGAAAUUCAGCAAAACUAGAUUUCAAAUCUCCUAGACUCCUAGUUCUUUUAAUUCAUUUUGAUAAUUUUGGUUUGUGUAACGAAAAAUGCAGGCCGCAUUGCUGGUUCCUCAACCGAAUUCACUUUACAAAACAAUUGCCCUUACACAGUCUGGCCGGGAAUUUUCUCCGGCAACGGAAACGACAUCCUCGCCGACGGUGGUUUUCAAUUAAAUCCAGGCGCUUCCGUACAGCUCACCGCUCCUUCUGGAUGGGCAGGCCGUAUUUGGGCUCGUACCGGCUGCAACUUCAGCUCAUCCGGCCAAGGCAAAUGCGCCACCGGAGAUUGUGGUGGCGUUCUUAAAUGUGCUGGCGGCGGGGUUCCUCCAGUCACAUUGGCCGAAUUCACCAUCGGAGUCACUGAUUUCUACGACGUGAGUCUCGUCGACGGCUACAAUGUCAAGAUUGGGAUAAAACCACAAGGAGGUACUGGAGACUGCAAAUACGCAGGCUGCGUCUCCGACCUCAACGCCAUUUGUCCUAACGAGCUUCGUGUCAUGGAUCCACAGAACAACGUGGUGGCGUGCAAAAGCGCCUGCGAUGCGUUUAGCAAGCCGGAAUAUUGCUGCACGGGAGCUUUCGAUAAGCCGGAAACUUGUCCUCCGACGGAUUACUCGAGGAUCUUCAAGAAAGCUUGUCCUAACGCUUACAGCUACGCCUAUGACGACGCAACAAGCACCUUCACUUGUUCCCGGUCUAACUACUUGAUCACUUUCUGCCCUUAAAAAUCCGGAGCUCUGGUUUAGACUCGGGUCGAGUUUGACUCCUUUAUUAUGUUUAUUUUGGUUUCUUGCUAUGUAAGGAAGAUGAAAUUAAAGAA